rfam:Acinetobacter sp. 39-4 SCNpilot_BF_INOC_scaffold_6142, whole genome shotgun sequence.
CUCUGCGGCGGAACGUGGAGGGGACAUCUUCGGAUGUGCUGGUCUUUUGGGUAUCAGUCUGUCAACCCCUUUUCGUUUCGCCACCAUU